GUUUUCCCUCAGCGGUUCCGAUCCUCAUUUCUAUUCAAUGUUUACCUCUUCAGGAUUUAAGCCGAUAUUUACGGCACAAUGUAUGGUUUAGGCACCUCAUUAAAAACGACACCUCCUUUAGAAAGACACCUAAUUAAAAACACACUUAAUUAAAAUACACUUAAUUAAAAAUACAACAGCCGCAUCGCGCCUGCGUGGUGAGGCGCAGAGCGCGUCUAUAAAUAAUGUGUAGGAACCAUAAGGGGAGAAGUAUGGAGAAGCAGAAGAUAAGACGUGGAGGUUGGUUAACUCUGAGUUAAGUUAAGAAUCAGGAGGUCACCUUCGCUUUUGUUCAUGUCUGAACAACAUUCUGCCUUUUGUGGGUUUUUUCCAUCGGCAUUAAAAGUUAUGACACAUAAUAAUAUAACAUAUUGAUAUUUUCAUGAUCAUUUAAUAAAAGAUUCCAUGUCAGCAAUGUCUGGAAUUGUGACGAAUUCAAACAUUUAUGAUUCUAAUUGGAUGGAUGGGUUUGUGCUCGGGUUACUGGGAGGCUGUGUCCGUGUGUAGGACUUCACCAUCUUCAUCAUCAUCCUCAUCAUCAUCAUCAUCAUCAUCAUCAUCAUCAUCAUCAUCAUCACCAUCCUCAGAUGAAAUAAGAGGCCUAUGUGCGUGACAGGUGUACCACUGCUGAAAUUGACGGACCUGGAAACCGGGAACAGGGUUGCUUGCUAUGGGCCAGAAAAAUACCUUGAUACUUGCCUUUGUCAAACAUUUAUGGAAGCUUUUUUUUUUUCUUGAUGAAAAUAAAAAUCAAUGAUGC
ensembl:lncRNA